rnacentral:rRNA from 1 species
AGCAGCCGCGGUAAUUCCAGCUCCAAUAGCGUAUAUUAAAGUUGUUGCAGUUAAAAAGCUCGUAGUUGAACUUCGGGAUCAAGGAAUCGGUCAUGCCUUGGUAUGUACUGGUUUUAUUGGUUCUCACCUUCUAAAGAACCAUAAUGUCAUUCAUUUGAUGUUAUGGGGAAUUAGGACUGUUACCUUGAAAAAAUUAGAGUGUUUAAAGCAGGCUUACGCUUGAAUACAUUAGCAUGGAAUAAUGAAAUAGGACAUCCGAUUCUAUUUUGUUGGUUUCUAGGAUCGAUGUAAUGAUUAAUAGGGAUAGUUGGGGGCAUUAGUAUUCAAUUGUCAGAGGUGAAAUUCUUGGAUUUAUUGAAGACUAACUACUGCGAAAGCAUUUGCCAAGGAUGUUUUCAUUAAUCAAGAACGAAAGUUAGGGGAUCGAAGACGAUCAGAUACCGUCGUAGUCUUAACCAUAAACUAUGCCGACUAGGGAUCGGAUGAUGUUAAUUUUAUAAUGACUCAUUC